rnacentral:rRNA from 1 species
AACGAACGCUGGCGGCAUGCCUAACACAUGCAAGUCGAACGAAAGCUUCGUCCUUUGUUGCGCAGGUGUGGGUACCGCCUGGGAAUCUGCCCUUUGGUUCGGUAUAACAGCUGUAAACGGCUGCUAAUACCGGAUGAUGAAGAAAGUCAAAAGAUUUGUGGCCAGAGGAUGAGCCCGCGUUGGAUUAGGUGGUUGGUGGGGUAAAGGCCUACACAGCCGAGGAUCCAUAGCUGGUCUGAGAGGAGGAUCAGCCAGACUGGGAAUGAGACACGGCCCAGACUCCGACGGGAGGCAGCAGUGGGGAAUAUUGGACAAUGGGAGCAAGCCUGAUCAAGCAAUGCCGCGGGAGUGAUGAAGGCGCUAGGGUUGUAAAGCUCUUUUACCCGGGAAGAUAAUGACUGUACCGGGAGAAUAAGACCCGGCUAACUCCGUG